rnacentral:lncRNA from 1 species
UGAGAUGGCAGUUGCCGGAGUUGGAGGCCGGGCGGCGACGAAAUUCCAUGGAAUUAUAGUUGGUCUACUCUGCAAUGUCUCUAUUUAAAAGCCCAAGUGAGGACAGACAAGAUGAACAACAUGAGAGAUAUCUGCAAGCCAACAACAAAGAAUUCAACAGUAUUUUUGGAUAUCCGAACAAUGCCAUCAAGACCUCAAAAUAUAGUGUCUUUAAUUUCCUGCCCCUGAACCUAUUUGAAC